rnacentral:rRNA from 1 species
UACGUAGGGGGCUAGCGUUGUCCGGAUUUAUUGGGCGUAAAGAGCGUGUAGGCGGCCAUGUAGGUCCGGUGUGAAAACUCGAGGCUUAACCUCGAGAUGUCAUCGGAAACCAUUUGGCUAGAGUCCGGAAGAGGAGAGUGGAAUUCCCGGUGUAGUGGUGAAAUGCGUAGAUAUCGGGAGGAACACCAGUGGCGAAGGCGACUUCCUGGCCUGUUCUUGACGCUGAGGCGCGAAAGCUAGGGGAGCAAACGGG